GGGAUAAUAGUAUAGUGGUCAGUACUUCUCGUUGUGGUCAAGUACCUACAAUUCCGAGAGGACCCAGGUUCGAUUCCUGGUUAUCCCA